CCAUAUGACCCUUAAUGCACACGCACCUGAUCUCUGAUCUCAGAAGCUAAGCACUAUUGGGCCUGGUUAGUAUAUGGA
ensembl:rRNA 5S_rRNA 5S ribosomal RNA